GACGAACGCUGGCGGCGUGCUUAACACAUGCAAGUCGAACGGAAAGGCCCUGCUUUUGUGGGGUGCUCGAGUGGCGAACGGGUGAGUAACACGUGAGUAACCUGCCCUUGACUUUGGGAUAACUUCAGGAAACUGGGGCUAAUACCGGAUAGGAGCUCCUGCUGCAUGGUGGGGGUUGGAAAGUUUCGGCGGUUGGGGCUGGACUCGCGGCUUAUCAGCUUGUUGGUGGGGUAGUGGCUUACCAAGGCUUUGACGGGUAGCCGGCCUGAGAGGGUGACCGGCCACAUUGGGACUGAGAUACGGCCCAGACUCCUACGGGAGGCAGCAGUGGAGAAUAUUGCACAAUGGGCGGAAGCCUGAUGCAGCAACGCCGCGUGCGGGAUGACGGCCUUCGGGUUGUAAACCGCUUUCGCCUGUGACGAAGCGUGAGUGACGGUAAUGGGUAAAGAAGCACCGGCUAACUACGUG
rnacentral:rRNA from 1 species